rnacentral:lncRNA from 1 species
AUGGUGGAUGAUGCUGAUGCAGUGGGAGGGCCUGGGGGUCCUGGAAUGGCAGGCUGCGAUGGCCUCCCUGGAGGCUUUGGCAGUGACAUCAGGCCAAGGUUGUGGCUGUGGCUGGGGCCAAGGCUCUGGAGCUCAUAGAGGUAAGUCUGAGAACAAGGAGUCGACGCCUAUCACUAAGUUAAACCAUCUGGCCAAAGAUGUGAAGAUCAAGUCCUGGGAGAGCUGUCUUCUCUCUGCCCAUCAAGGUGUCUGAGAUCAUUGACCUUUUCCUGGAGUCGUCUCUCAAGAAUGGGGUUCUGAAGAUUAUGCUGGCACAGAAGUUGACCCAUGCUGGCCAUUUCACCAGGUUCAAGGUGUUUGUUGCCUUUGAGGACUACAAUGGCCAUGUUGUCUGGGUAUUAAGCACUCCAAGGGGGUAGCCACUACCAUCCAACGGGCCAUCAUCCCAGCCAAGCUCUCCAUUGGACCCGCACAGAGAGGCUACAGGGGGAACAAGAUCAGCAAGCCCCACACCAGCCUUUGCAACGUGACAGGCCACUGGCUCUGUGCUGGUGUGUGUGCCUCAUCCCUGCCCCCAGGGGCACUAAGCAUCAUCUUGGCCUCUGUGCCCAAGAAGCUGCUGCUGAUGGCUGCUACGCCUUGGCCAGGGACCGCACUGCCACCCUGGGCCACCUUUGAUGCCAUCUCUAAGACUGCUAGCAACUGGAUCCCUGACCUCUGGAAAGAGACUGUAUUCACCAAGUUUCCCUACCAGGAAUUCACUGACCAUCUCUCAAGACCCACACCAGAGUCUCUAAGCAGAAGACGCAGGUUCCAGCUGUGGCUACAACG